rnacentral:misc_RNA from 1 species
GAUGAAGAACGUAGCGAAAUGCGAUAAGUAAUGUGAAUUGCAGAAUUCAGUGAAUCAUCGAAUCUUUGAACGCACAUUGCGCCCCCUGGUAUUCCGGGGGGCAUGCCUGUUCGAGCGUCAUUUCAACCCUCAAGCUCUGCUUGGUAUUGGGCGUCGCCGGGGAGUCUCCCCGGCGUGCCUCAAAGCCAUCGGCGGUGGUGCCUUUCUCUAAGCGAGGUAGAAUUUUUAUUCGCUUCUGAGUUGGGCUUCGCCUGCCGGACAAACCGGGCCCUCGCGGCCCACCUUCUCAGGUUGACCUCGGAUCAGGUAGGGAUACCCGCUGAACUUAAGCAUAUCAAUAAGCGGAGGA